rnacentral:rRNA from 1 species
UUUAUGGAGAGUUUGAUCCUGGCUCAGGAUGAACGCUGGCGGCGUGCCUAAUACAUGCAAGUCGAGCGAACGGACGAGAAGCUUGCUUCUCUGAUGUUAGCGGCGGACGGGGGAGUAACACGUGGAUAACCUACCUAUAAGACUGGGAUAACUUCGGGAAACCGGAGCUAAUACCGGAUAAUAUUUUGA